ACGUACACUCCUGCGGGAGGCAACAGUGGGGAAUAUUGGACAAUGGGCGCAAGCCUGAUCCAGCCAUGCCGCGUGAGUGAUGAAGGCCCUAGGGUUGUAAAGCUCUUUCACCGGUGAAGAUAAUGACGGUAACCGGAGAAGAAGCCCCGGCUAACUUCGUGCCAGCAGCCGCGGUAAUACGAAGGGGGCUAGCGUUGUUCGGAUUUACUGGGCGUAAAGCGCACGUAGGCGGACUAUUAAGUCAGGGGUGAAAUCCCGGGGCUCAACCCCGGAACUGCCUUUGAUACUGGUAGUCUUGAGUUCGAGAGAGGUGAGUGGAAUUCCGAGUGUAGAGGUGAAAUUCGUAGAUAUUCGGAGGAACACCAGUGGCGAAGGCGGCUCACUGGCUCGAUACUGACGCUGAGGUGCGAAAGCGUGGGGAGCAAACAGGAUUAGAUACCCCGGUAGUCCCA
rnacentral:rRNA from 1 species